rnacentral:rRNA from 1 species
AGAGCGAACGCUGGCGGCAGGCCUAACACAUGCAAGUCGAGCGCCCGUAGCAAUACGGGAGCGGCAGACGGGAUAGUAACACGUGGGAACGCGCCCUUCGGUUCGGAAUAACUCAGGGAAACUUGAGCUAAUACCGGAUACGCCCUUACGGGGAAAGAUUUAUUGCCGAAGGAACGGCCCGCGUCCGAUUAGCUAGUUGGUGAGGUAAUGGCUCACCAAGGCGACGAUCGGUAGCUGGUCUGAGAGGAUGACCAGCAUCACUGGGACUGAGACACGGCCCAGACUCCUACGGGAGGCAGCAGUGGGGAAUAUGGACAAUGGGCGCAAGCCUGAUCCAGCCAUGCCGCGUGGAUGAUGAAGGCCUUAGGGUUGUAAAGUCCUUUUAACGGGAAGAUAAUGACGGUACCGUAGAAUAAGCCCGGCUAACUUCGUGCCAGCAGCCGC